ACUAACAUGUGUCAUCAGUUUAUCCCUGUUAUUUGCCACAGGCGCAGACCGCGGCACACUCCCAGAAAAGUAUGCAACUUGGACAACCUACGCUCUCUGAAUGUGGCCUCUACAGAUUCCCUCUUGUUCUCUAUAUCAGACUUUGGAACUGCCAAUCUGCCGUCAACAAGGCAGAUUUCAUUACUGACAUUGCAACCCACUCCAACCUCAGUGUGCUGGCUCUGACUGAGACCUGGAUCCAUACUGAGAACACUGCCACACCCACUGCCCUAGCCUCCAACUUCAACUUCUCCCAUACCUCGCGUCCCAACAGACAAGAGGCUGAUACAGGUAAACUGGGGAAGUUCAAUGAUGAAUUUGACAUGCUACUGCCCACCAUCCCAGAUGAUGGAACGCCUCUUGUGGUCUUUUUGACUUCAACAUUAAUCUAGACAAGCCACAUGCAGCUGACUUUCUUGCUCUCCUUCCCACAUUUGACCUCACACCAGCAAGCCACAAAGCCGGCAAACAGCUUGACCUCAUCCUCACACAACAACCUCCAAGACACCAAGCAGUCUGGCUUCAAAAGCAAUCACUCCACAGAGACUGCUCUGUUUUCCGUCACUGAAGCCGUACGACUAGCAAGAGCAACCUCUAGGUCAUCUGUCCUCAUCCUACUUGAUUUCUCUGCUGCUUUCGACACUGUGAAUCAUCAGGUCCUCCGGUCAACUCUCUCCAGCCUGUGCAUCACUGGAACGGUGCUGCGCUGGGUGGAAUCCUAUCUCUCAGAUAGAUCCU